UUCUUGACAGUAGGGCAGGGAGGAAUACUAACAUAUUUGGUGCUUUGUUACACGCUUGUUGCACAGGGCUGCUUGCAGUAUUUUCCUCUCGCUGUCUCGGCCCCUCCCGUCCUGCCACACUUUCAGAAACGCCCCUGAUUACGUCCGGUUUUCCCCCGAAUUCACCUGAUUGGUCCGCUAUUCAAGCUAGUUUGUAAUGAUGGCAGUUUCCCGUGUGAUACUAAAAACCGACGCCACCUUUCCGCCAGUAUUGCCGUGCACUGCAGGAACUAUUACAAUAAAACUGGAGGUUUUGUAAUCCCUCGCCUGUUCCUAAUCGUAUCACUGUCAUGCUGAGUAGCUACAAUCACUUUGGACUGAUUAAAACAAAAGUAAAAAAUACGUCUACUUUUGUGCGCCAGCUUCUCCGACGUGGCAAGCCGAAAGUCCUGGAAGCGUGUGACGUCACCGAGUUAAAAGUUACUAUGCAGAAAAGAAGAAAUGGAUUCCUGCUUCAGGCAAGACUAUCACGUGACCUUGCAUCUUCUGGCCAGCAUCAUCAAGGCAGAUGCCUUGGUUGGAGCUGGCUGCACAUGUCUGGCCAUCAAGCUGCUAUUUCUGCCCGUGCCAGUCGCUCCAGGAUUGCAGCUAUGAGAAGAGAGCUUUGAAGAGCUGUCCAGAAAUGGAUGAUCAUGAAGUGUCUCUGGUGUUUGUGGAAAGCCUAUUUUCUGAAACUCUGAUGUCCUUCACAGCAACUCGCGAAGAGCUUUGUUUGAGAAUUAUUUUGCUGGCAGAGGCCCUAUGCAUUGCUUGAGGAACAAAAACAAGCAGAACAAAUCAAGUGUUACGCGCAAACAGGCAUUAAACAAUUUACAUGCACAACACCAUUAAAAAAACAAACAAAAAAAAAACAACUAGAAUCAAACGCAGACAAAGAUCUUCUUACAUACAUUUUAAAUUAACCCCUGGAAUCAUUUGCAGCCUGCAUGUUCACAAAGAUGCAAAUUGCUUCUCCAAGAGAAACACUGUGGGUAAUAAAUCAUUUCCCGCUCACGUAAUCUCAGAGAUGACAAACUACAUAUAUCUCAGAAUGCUUUUGUUCAUGAAAGUAUGCAUGAGUCUGGUGACAUAAGUUGUUUUUUUGUUUUUUUCAUUUCUGUUGAGAUGGUGUGUGUGUAUAAAUACGUCUGCAAGCCAAAUAAAAGGAGUGUGUGAACUGUGACAUCAAGUCCUGGAGACACAAUUUUAAGCCACAGCCCCAAGAUUGCCUCUUCACUUAUUAAGUUAAAGCCAGAUACUCCGGUGCACCUGGUGAGCCAAUGUGAAUGGAUGAUAUGAUGAUUCAUAUGCAACAAUGCAUUUCCAUUAAAGACAAGUAUU